CGACAAUAGAACUGCAGCUUCUCCUGGUCGUGUUCUGGACAAGUCAGCACCUGAGCGAGACAGGCAAAACAGAUGAGAACAAUUUAAUCUGAGUGUUUCUUCCACAGGUGGAAAGUUUCCUGACAGCUGUGUUCAAUAAGACCUAACCAGCUCUCUGUUGGAUCUUUUAUUGAACUGUGCAAGUGUGCUGAUCAACACCAGGCCAGGGGAAGAAUUAUAACUGCAAUAAAGAAAGACCAUUAUUACCCACACCUGGUCAAAAAGGAAAGUCAACCAUACCACAAUAAGUAGGCACACUAUAAGUAAACCAGUUCUAAAAGUGAAGCUACCAGUCCUGCAACAGAAAUCAAGUAUAAGAAAGCUAUACCUAUUUUAGUGAUUGCAGUAGAAGGUGACCUAUUGAAUUUGCCUGUGUGCGAGGGCCUCCAGGAUGGAAGCAGUUAAAAUAAAAAAAAAAAAGCAAACAAACUUGCUAAACAGGAAUCUUGAAAACAGCCAAUGUGAGUGUCACAAAUACCCUGUUGAACCCUAUGGAGGUGGUUUUCUCUUCACUCCGUUGACUCCGUUGAAUCCAGUGAAGCUGCUCUUCCUUUUGAAAGAUUCUUGUACAGCGCUGCAAAAAUGUCAGACCCAACAAGACUGGAAAUGGCAUUGGCUGCAAUGUUCAGUGUCUACAUGUCCUACCAAGGAGAUGACAAAAAACUGACCAAAGAACAAUUUCUAAAACUAGUGAAGGAUGAACUACCCGUACUUGGUGAGGGAAAAAAUGAAGAUGAGCUCUUCAAGUGUGUCGACCACAAUGAUGAUAAACGUGUGGACUUUGAAGAGUUCGCCUCACUGGUUGCUGGUUGCGCCUGUGCAAGCCAUGACGCCCUCCAAAAGGUCGUGAAAGAACUGGAUUCAAAAGGCUUCCCAAAGUAAAGCACUGCUGAUGUGGAAAGAAACCCAAUAUAGGCCUUACCUGGAUUCACAUCAAAACAAAGUCUGUCAAAG